UACGGAGGGGGCUAGCGUUGUUCGGAAUUACUGGGCGUAAAGCGCACGUAGGCGGCUUUGUAAGUUAGAGGUGAAAGCCCAGAGCUCAACUCUGGAAUUGCCUUUGAGACUGAGUGGCUUGAGUACGAGAGAGGUGAGUGGAAUUCCCAGUGUAGAGGUGAAAUUCGUAGAUAUUGGGAAGAACACCGGUGGCGAAGGCGGCUCACUGGCUCGUAACUGACGCUCAUGCACGACAGCGUUGGGGGAU
rnacentral:rRNA from 1 species